GUGCUUGCACCGGGGAUUAGUGGCGAACGGGUGAGUAACACGUGAGUAACCUGCCCUUGACUCUGGGAUAAGCCUGGGAAACUGGGUCUAAUACCGGAUAUGACUCCUCAUCGCAUGGUGGGGGGUGGAAAGCUUUUGUGGUUUUGGAUGGACUCGCGGCCUAUCAGCUUGUUGGUGAGGUAAUGGCUCACCAAGGCGACGACGGGUAGCCGGCCUGAGAGGGUGACCGGCCACACUGGGACUGAGACACGGCCCAGACUCCUACGGGAGGCAGCAGUGGGGAAUAUUGCACAAUGGGCGCAAGCCUGAUGCAGCGACGCCGCGUGAGGGAUGACGGCCUUCGGGUUGUAAACCUCUUUCAGUAGGGAAGAAGCGAAAGUGACGGUACCUGCAGAAGAAGCGCCGGCUAACUACGUGCCAGCAGCCGCGGUAAUACGUAGGGCGCAAGCGUUAUCCGGAAUUAUUGGGCGUAAAGAGCUCGUAGGCGGUUUGUCGCGUCUGCCGUGAAAGUCCGGGGCUCAACUCCGGAUCUGCGGUGGGUACGGGCAGGCUAGAGUGAUGUAGGGGAGACUGGAAUUCCUGGUGUAGCGGUGAAAUGCGCAGAUAUCAGGAGGAACACCGAUGGCGAAGGCAGGUCUCUGGGCAUUAACUGACGCUGAGGAGCGAAAGCAUGGGGAGCGAACAGGAUUAGAUACCCUGGUAGUCCAUGCCGUAAACGUUGGGCACUAGGUGUGGGGGACAUUCCACGUUUUCCGCGCCGUAGCUAACGCAUUAAGUGCCCCGCCUGGGGAGUACGGCCG
rnacentral:rRNA from 1 species